rnacentral:rRNA from 1 species
UACGGAGGGGGCUAGCGUUAUUCGGAAUUAUUGGGCGUAAAGGGCGCGUAGGCGGCUCGGCACGUCCGUUGUGAAAUCGCCCGGCUCAACUGGGCGGGGUCAGCGGAUACGGUCGAGCUUGAGCAAGCUAGGGGGUAAUGGAAUUCCCGGUGUAGUGGUGGAAUGCGUAGAUAUCGGGAGGAACACCAGUGGCGAAGGCGGUUACCUGGGGCUUUGCUGACGCUGAUGCGCGAAAGCGUGGGGAGCGAUCCGG